AAAGCAUGGUGAGGGCAUUUUCUUAGUAUUUUCUUAUAUCCAUCCCAAAUCUUAUAAAUGGAUUUUCCUUCAAACUGAGUAAAAUAAGUUAUAACAUUUCUAUGUUU